rnacentral:rRNA from 1 species
AGCGAACGCUGGCGGCAUGCCUAACACAUGCAAGUCGAACGAGACCUUCGGGUCUAGUGGCGCACGGGUGCGUAACGCGUGGGAACCUGCCCUUAGGUUCGGAAUAACUCCCCGAAAGGGGUGCUAAUACCGGAUAAUGUCUUCGGACCAAAGAUUUAUCGCCUUUGGAUGGGCCCGCGUUGGAUUAGCUAGUUGGUAGGGUAAAAGCCUACCAAGGCGAUGAUCCAUAGCUGGUCUGAGAGGAUGAUCAGCCACACUGGGACUGAGACACGGCCCAGACUCCUACGGGAGGCAGCAGUGGGGAAUAUUGGACAAUGGGCGAAAGCCUGAUCCAGCAAUGCCGCGUGAGUGAUGAAGGCCUUAGGGUUGUAAAGCUCUUUUACCCGGGAUGAUAAUGACAGUACCGGGAGAAUAAGCUCCGGCUAACUCCGUG